rnacentral:sRNA from 1 species
AAUGCAAGCAUUGAGUAAAAAUGUUCAACUAUUCUAUGUAAACUAUAAUCUUCAUUAUACGAGCACUUGUUAAUGAAAAUGACCUUUUGGUUUUCACUUCUGUUUUCAAAAGCAAGGAUUAUUCAUUAUUGCAUUAUUUUUUUUCAAGUUUGGACAGAAGAUUCUACCAUUAUUUCAAGGUUUUAUUUGACCAAAAUGAAUCUUUUGGCAACUGAAUCAGGAACAGGUUGUACAACCUAAAUAGAUAGAGCUGAGUACAGGGAUAAGUAUAUUACUUGGUCAAUUUCGACCUUGCACAUCAAAAGAAUUAAACAAGUAAAUUCUGUUUGAUCAUUUGAUGAUGCAGGGAUUAAAUGUUUGAUUAACCAAUCAAAUGAUACUAACCCAUCUCCCAGUAGCCCUAUUUCCUGUGUGGUCCUAAAUUGUCUCGUUUUACCCUAUUACCCUUUUUUCGAAAUGAACCUACAAUGGUAAAACAUGUAGGUUUCAUGAAAGUAGACAUAGACUUCUUAGCAAAAUCAAAGUUCCAAGUCCAUAUCAAGAGUGGGGUUCUUUUCCGUUUCUUGUAGAGGGUUUCCACAUCUGUAAUAUACAUUAUUUUAUUAUCUGAAGUAUAACCUAAGCAUUCUUAAGUAUCUGAAAAGUAUGAAUUUCAAAAAAAUUAUUUUUUUUUCAUUUAGAUAUGAAAAUUUCUGUUUCCAUAUUUUUAUUCUGCUUUGUUCUAUGUGGUAUAAGCACUCCACCCUUGAUCAGAUACUGAUUGUGGACUUUUUGAAAUGCAAGAAGUGUGCAACAGCACUCACCUUAAGUCUAUGUUUGUGAAGUGGUAACUAUUUUGACCAAGUUUACGAGUUGCCUUGAAAUGAUCGUAGAAUGUGAGAAACACAAAUACUCAAAACAUACAUUUCUUCUCUUUACAUUUUUAUUACACCACAUGUAAUCAUGGCAUACCUUGUUAUUUUGUAUCUCCUAAAUAAGGACUAGAAAUUUUGUUCGACCAGUUUUCUGUUGAUGGUAUGUAGCUACGGAGAAUGACGAUUUACUUCCCAUUUUACGGGAAGAAUUUUGUUAGCACCAAUGUUUAUUAAAUAACCAUUUAAUACAUGUUUGUUUGUUUGCAUAUAUUGUUAUAUGCAUUUGGUGUAUAUUGUGCACAGUUAAUGAGUGUGAAUAAUAAUGAAAAUAAUAAAAACUUUCAAAG